GUGCCAGCCGCCGCGGUAAUACGUAGGCAGCAAGCGUUGUUCGGAGUUACUGGGCGUAAAGAGUGUGUAGGCGGUCGUCCAAGUUUGGUGUGAAAUCUCCCGGCUUAACUGGGAGGGUGCGCCGAAAACUGGAUAACUGGAGUAUGGGAGAGGAAAGCGGAAUUCCUGGUGUAGCGGUGAAAUGCGUAGAUAUCAGGAGGAACACCUGCGGUGUAGACGGCUUUCUGGACCAUGACUGACGCUGAGACACGAAAGCGUGGGGAGCAAACAGGAUUAGAAACCCCCGUAGUCC
rnacentral:rRNA from 1 species